rnacentral:rRNA from 1 species
UACGUAGGGUGCGAGCGUUUGUCCGGAAUUAUUGGGCGUAAAGAGCUCGUAGGCGGUCUGUCGCGUCGGCUGUGAAAACUCGGGGCUCAACUCCGAGCUUGCAGUCGAUACGGGCAGGCUAGAGUUCGGCAGGGGAGACUGGAAUUCCUGGUGUAGCGGUGAAAUGCGCAGAUAUCAGGAGGAACACCAAUGGCGAAGGCAGCACUCUGGGACGGUACUGACGCUGAGACGCGAAAGCGUGGGGAGCAAACAGG